rnacentral:rRNA from 1 species
AGAGUUUGAUCCUGGCUCAGGACGAACGCUGGCGGCGUGCUUAACACAUGCAAGUCGUACGAGACGAUUGAAAGCUUGCCUUUGAAAGUCGAGUGGCAAACGGGUGAGUAACGCGUAGACAACCUGCCGUAAAGAUGGGGACAACAGUCCGAAAGGACUGCUAAUACCGAAUGUUGUGGAACUUCCGCAUGGGGGCUCCACUAAAGAUGGCCUCUACUUGUAAGCUAUCGCUUUACGAUGGGUCUGCGUCUGAUUAGCUAGUUGGUGGGGUAACGGCUUACCAAGGCGACGAUCAGUAGCCGGUCUGAGAGGAUGAACGGCCACAUUGGAACUGAGACACGGUCCAGACUCCUACGGGAGGCAGCAGUGGGGAAUCUUCCGCAAUGGACGCAAGCCUGACGGAGCAACGCCNCGUGAGUGAAGAAGGGUUCNACUCGUAAAGCUCUGUUGNCCGGGACNAUGNGNANGUUGUNAAUACNGCNUUCCAUGACGNNCCUGACGAGGAA